AUUGAACGCUGGCGGCAGGCCUAACACAUGCAAGUCGAACGAGUGGCGGACGGGUGAGUAAUGUCUGGGACACUGCCUGAUGGAGGGGGAUAACUACUGGAAACGGUAGCUAAUACCGCAUACCAUCAGAUGUGCCCGGAUGGGAUUAGCUAGUUGGUGGGGUAACGGCUCACAAAGGCGACGAUCCCUAGCUGGUCUGAGAGGAUGACCAGCCACACGGGAACGGAGCAACGGCCCAGACUCCUACGGGAGGCAGCAGUGGGGAAUAUUGGACAAUGGGCGAAAGCCGGAUGCAGCCAGGCCGCGUGUAUGAAGAAGGCCUUCGGGUUGUAAAGUACUUUCAGCGGGGAGGCGUUACCCGAAGAAGAAGCACCGGCUAACUCCGUGCCAGCAGCCGCGGUAAUUC
rnacentral:rRNA from 1 species